AUACAACAUUCUGUUCUGCUAAAUACUUUGGCGAUUAUCUCAGAUCUAAAAGCAGCACUGGCUCAGAACUUUGUUAGCAGAAAUGACCGAGGAAGGAACAUUUCAGAAAAGCUUCUUAUGUGACACACUGGGAAAAUAAGCAUUCACACGCUGCCAAGACUGGAAGGUUGAGCCUGUAGAGAACUGGACUGCUGGGGAGGUCACAGAUUUAUGAUCUGACAUCAGUUCUGUCGUGGGUUACCUCCUAGUGAAGAGGGUUGGGGUUGACAAGAGAAUCAAGCCAGUAUUUGACUUCACAAGUGGUUAAGACCCUUCCCCACAAACCUGUGCCACCAAGGGGCCCAUCCUGUCCAGCCAAAUCACCAGUAACAUCGCCAUAACUUCACGGGUGCUCAUCAUGGCAGGAAGCAGAACGUGAGUGAAAUUGUGCCCUCUACUUUUUGCUAUUUGAUUUUGUGUAUUUGUAACAAACUACUUUCUACAGCCUUCUCCUCCCUUUACAUCCUCCACAUGACUAAUUGAUUUUUCUAUGUCUGAUUGAGCUUCUGGGGCCCACAUUCAGAUCCUCAGUGAACCAGUCACCCUUCUGAAGUGACCUAGCCCCAUUCCCUGUCUAUGCCCAGGACUUGUGCAGGCAGCAGAAGAUGCAGCUGAGAUAAGAACCAGAGACCUAACACAGAAUGUCC
rnacentral:lncRNA from 1 species